GUUUGAGAAGAACAGUUGGAGAUAUCUUUAGCCCAGUGCUCCUCAGGGCUCGCAAAAUCGCUAGCCUGACGUCCAGGGGUUAUUGUGUUUUUUCCAGUUGAGCUACCACAAUAUAUCAUUGGAUGUUACCGGGGAAACUGCUAUAUUCUGCCGGUCCAGAAGCACCUCCUGGCAGAGAAUGAAUUUGCAUUUUCAUUAAGUCCAUCUGCUGAUCCUUCAGACCAAUGUGAAAAUCUCAUCUUUUGAAUGACAUCCUUUCACUCUCAAGAGGGACUCCAAACUCAGAUGAUAAUGUGAGCAGGGUGUUUGCCAUCCUGCUGUGAUUGGCAGUGCAAGUGGUUUAGCCUGGGCCUGCAGUGCUUUGAAUGGCAUGAGGAGUAGGAGUGGCUGACAAAGCAGAAAGUGGCACCGCAGCCAAAGAUCUGCAUUAAAUGGAAUGAGUUUCUUUGAGAUGGAUCCAAGCAGUGUUUAUAGUGUUUUUCUUUCAUUGAAGUAUGUUGCCUUUGGUUCAAUUUUCUUGGUGGGAAAAGCUUCCAAACUCAGUUAAUGAGGGUGUAUUUAGGUGUUGAUUAAGAAAACCGUUUACAAGCGGAAACAGUCCAAAACAGUUCUAAACGCAUAUGUAAGUGGAUUUUGUGUGAGAAAAACAACAGGGGACUUCACUAGAAUAAGCAUUAUUAUGGACUAAUUUAGUCAGAAUCUGCUGUUUAAAGUUAAAAUGCCUUGAUGGAUUUGUUUCUUAAACACACAGCUUUUUACCUCAAGACGUUAAUUGAUGGACUGGAGU